rnacentral:lncRNA from 1 species
ACCACUUAAAGUCAAAAUCCAGUAAUUUUCAGUCUUAUUUUUCCACUUCUUUGUCCCCCUUGCUUCACUUGGUAUUGUCAGUAGCCAUCAAUCUGAAGAAUUCCUCCUUCCUCUGCUGCCACCUACCAGUUUAUUUCUCUGCUGCAGCAGAAGGGUAUAUAGAAAAAGUUCUUGCUUACUGCUCACAUUUAACAGAAAAAAUUUCAUAUUUUCACAUUUGCACCAAAUUUUCCAUGUCUGCUCCAGAUAUUCCCCCAAAAAAAUCAGAAACAGAAGUCCCAAUUACAGGAAAAAAAAAAAAAUCGCACAAUGUAUGAUCAUUGCUCAUGCUAAACUGGGAAAAUUUUAAAAAGGAAGGAAGUAGAAAGAUUUAGACACUAAGUAGCUGCCAUCUCAAUAAGCCAUCCCCGUUCUCUUUACCUACCCCUACCAUCUAUCAAUACAUACACAAUCUAUAAUUCUGUCUACCCAGUUUACAACUGCAAAAUUAAAAUUCAGAGAUCACCAAAAAAAAUCUGUGGAAGACGUAUCAUUAUAAAAGAAUUUUUAAAAGUAAUUCUAGAAACUAGGGGUGUUAGGUGCUUUACCUGUUUGAGUUUUCAAUGUUCUGGACUGCUUAUUGCCCAAUGGCUCUGAAUACAUUAAAGCACGAACACAUACGCCACCUAUAUUUAAAAUAGGGUAGCAUUUGUAUGCCCACAUAAGCACUAGAUUUUUUUCUUUGCAAGAAAAUAAAUUCAUUAAGUCCUUUAAAAAGGGCUAAUCAUUAAAGCAUAUUUCCUCAGACUGUAUAUACAUACAUAGAAAAAUCAGGGGAACAAAAGACAGAAUGACAAAUAUUGUAGCAGUUGUAGGAGAACUGGGCAUUAGCACAGCAUUAAGUGUUCUCUGCUUGUUAAAAUCUAAGAUUCAUUUAUUUAUAUUCCCAUUCUUUUUUGUCACUGGAGUUCACAUUUCAAAUUUUAUUGUACAUUAGCUAGUAAGGAAUAGUAUAUCUAGUAAUGAGCUAAUGAGAACAGUCAUGACCUGUUUUUGUUCCACCCUCCCACUACCUUCACCCCAAAAUAAAUGCGUAAUUUCGCCAACUUUAAAAAAUAUCAAGAAAUAAAACAAACACUGAGAUAAACACCAAAGGCUAGUCAACAGUGGCACUGCAAUAUUGUUUCUACUUUCUCAUUCCUUCCCCAAUCUCAAACCCCACCCUUUUGACCUCUGUGUAUGGGAUGCGCCUGAGCAGGAGAAGGUGGUGAUGUCAGGACUGCGCCGUUCCCACAGGUGCUCCUACAGGCCUGCUGUGCUUCUGGGAACUGGGGCACAGGGAAGUCUGUCUGACUGAAACCCAAAACAACAACAGUUCACCUAGUAAAUGUGAAUACGGUAAAAUGUAAAAGUGAGAUGAUUCUUUGCAAACCAGCAGUAUUUCAGUGUGGGCAGAAUGGAGGUUGUUAGAACCCCCGCGCCCUGGGCGGUCACAUGUGCUACACACACUAAUGGUGGCCAUUCUAUUAGGAGGGCACGAAGGUCUCCUAGGCAAGCUUGAGUAUACACCAGCAAUUCUUGCAGGAGUUUAGCUGGGAUCCCUUUAGUGGUAUAUUUCAGUUCAACAGAGAAUUACUUGUGACUAAAGGUGUUCAGGAGACUGUCCCUAUCUUUUAUGAGUCAACUGACGCACAGAACGGGCUAAUGACCUAUUACAUGCCCUCCUCCACUGCAAAAAGAGCACCUAUGGCCAGGAUUUCCUAGUCACUAGUCAUCUAGUGAUGUCGAGCCACUUUGGAUAGGACAUUUAAAGUCACAGGAUAAAAUUAUGCAGAAGCACAUGCUGGAAAGGGACCUGGCUACUUUCAAUGAAAUCUUAUCUACUAGAAAGAGGAUUAUUGCCCAAAAUGAUAUAGGAGCUUUACCUGUGAUGGUUGAGGGCAGCAGAAAGCAGAAAAGGGCAAGUGGACUGGGACAGAAGGCUAUCAAAAUGAGCAAGCUGUAUUCCUGUUCCUGCCCCUAACUAUUGGCAUGCUCUUGGUUAGUCUGUUCAACCACAUUGUGCUUCAGAAAUACUUCCCUAUCUGCUUCAAACUGUAAUUUCGGAGUGUUUAAGCCACAAUUGUAUGAUAACCUCAAAGUGUUCAUGUUUUUUUUGACACAGUGUCUCAGAAACGCUGAAAUGAUUGGUUCUGCUGUCAUACUGCUCCUAAUUUAAUCUACAUGUCACUGCUACCUUUCGCUUUCAUAACCAUGUUACAAAAGGAGAAGCACUAAGGCCAACUGAGUGCUAUGGUGGGGUUUUUCCAUACAUAGAACCUAGAGCUUACUUUUACCUUUUCAAAACUAGUUUUCCAUACCUGUCAACUCCUAAUUGAUGUCUUUAUACUGUGAGCUCACUUUGUAUUCGGAACACCAACCCCUGAAAAAGCUUAAGCCAGAGUAGCACAAUGGAAGAAACAAACAAACCCAAAACAAAAACAAAGCCAAAAAAGUCACACUCUGAAUUAUUUCAUUAUAGACAUAUAUGCAAAGAGUGGAGUUAUCGAAAUGCCUAAACAAAAUUCCCACAGAAGUCCUGAGUUCAUCCCAAUCAACUCAAACUUUAUCCCCAAAAGCUCUUCUUCAAUCAAAUUAUUUGACAUGUUAAUGCGUUUUUUAACAAGUGAGUUAUGACAAACUCGUGGUUGCCUUUAAAGUGCACAAAGAAAGGAAAUUUUUUAUAAAAGAAAGUAAAGUUAGCCUUGUGGUGGAAAGAAAGGAGAGUCAAAUUACCUGCCAGCCGGCUGGGGCUGUGACUGAAUCCAAACCGCUGCAUUUAGCAUUCAUUACACAGCUGCAUUAUUGGGGGAAGGGGAGUUUAGAAGGGCACUGACCCCGAAAGUUCUCAAUACUUCUCACUCAUCAUCAGGAAGGGGGAAGAAGGAAAGUUUUUUCUCUGGGUAUAUUUUUGUUUGUUUGUAUUUGGUUUUUUUUGGCUCCUGAAAAGGCUGGCAAAGAACAGUAACAGUGCAAACAGUUAGAAUAUUUCUUUAAAAAUAUUUUUUAAAUGUAAAACAUUAAGGAAUUUUAAAAGCCAAAUUUUCAUUAAUAUAGAAAAAUUUUUCACUAGAGUUAGGCAGCCACCCCAAAACAGCAUGGCAAAAUGGUACUGGUAUAAAGGAAAUAAAAUAGCACACAAAAAUCCAAAACAAAACUAAAAACAUUUCAAAUUAAACCUGAAAGACUAGAAGAUUCCAACAGCAGAUUUCUGUCCACUACUGAAACAUUCCAAAAUCCAAGCUUCAAAGGUGCCUAAAUUGUAUGUUAAAUGAAACUUUUUUUAAGAAAGAAAAAAGAAAGCAGUGAACCUGGUUAUAAAUCCUGCAAUAUAUUACAUUUUAAAAAAUCCUAGUACAAUAAAACAAAAUUUAAAUAAAAUUAAACAAACAAACAAAUAAAAACAGUAGCAGCAGAGGUUACCUGUCUGAGCACCUACAUUUUCUUAGGAGGGGAUCGUGUCUCACCAGCCAAAUAGCCCAUUAACCUUCUCAAAAAGAGCGAGCCAGGUGAAAAAUAACACAAGAUUUGAUUUCACAAUGUCUCUAAGCUCCCCCAAGCCCCAAAUUGGGGGUUCAUUGAAUGAAGAUAAUUUAUUUUUCCAUUGCUUUCUUCUUGAGAAAAAGAAGAGAUGAUCUUGAAAGUCAAUGACUUUUUUCAAUGCCUUCAGUACCUUUGCUCAAAGUCUGGUAAAGGGCUUGAUGAAAGCAAGUCUCUUGCUGGAUUUUUCUAAUGUUCCAGGGUACUUCUCUUAUUGAUAGCACAUAUAGAAAGAUUUCAGAGUUCAUUGGAGAAAGGCCAGCAGAAAUGACCAAUUAUAGGCACCAAAAAAGAAAAAAGACUAUUAAAAAUUUUUCAGUGGAAUAGUUCAUAUGUAUAGAUAUCAAAGUCCAGUUUUCAUCAUGGGUGACAUAAAAACAACAUCAGAAAGAAUUAUUUAAAAAAUACAAUUUAGAAUUACAAUUUUUUUUUUAGAAUUACAAUUUUAACAAUAUACAAA